rnacentral:tRNA from 1 species
UAAGAAAUAGCUCAGUUGGUAGAGCGUCAGACUAUAAAUCGAAAGGUCCUAGGUUCGAUCACAGGUUCCGGCA